CUAACUGAACAUGUCUGGUGUGGAUGAAGAGGAGGACAGAUCAGAGUCUGAGGACAGAUGUCAGCAGCUCAGACACACAGCAGAGUCUUCAGGAUCCAGCAGGCUGUUGAUGAAGAGUGAUAUAUCAAAAGAUGAACCACCAGACUUCAGUGGUGAACCUGGACCUUCAGACUCAAAAAGCAUCAACAUCUUCCACUGUCUGACGGAGAUGAAGGACCUCUCAGUACAUCAGGA